CCCUCCUUCAGGGAACGAGGGUUACAUACGUAACCUAGACGUUAUGAAUUCAAACAUGUUUAAUAAAACUUUAUUAUCAUUUACACAAUUUUCUGCUUAUUUUUCCUGUUGUUCAGUCUUUGGUUGUCUUGUUCAAAAAUGUCAAUGCGUAUUUGUACAAUGGGUAUUUUGAUAAAUUUUAAGUAUAUCUUUAAAGUACAACUGGCUCCAGCCUGACCCCAUAUGAUGUUAAUUUAACUGGAAAAAGGGAUGAAUAAAUAAAGGUGCUGUGUGAGCAUGUGUUCAUCUCUGACUUCCCCUCUGGUCUGUGUGGUCGAGUUUCAUCUAAAGCUCAGUCGUGUUUCUGCUCACAGUAAAAGAUGUCUGAAUAAUCACAGUACAGAAGAUAUUCAUCUUAAUCAGACAAUGAAGAUCAUACAGCUUCAGAUCUGUGAGUUUAUCGCAUCACAUUUGAUUAAUUUGGGUUAUGUACUUAUGUACUUAAUAAAUGUGUUUUUCUUUCUCUCAUAGAUCUGUUGAUGUGGUCUUAAACCACAGAGAGUCUAACAAACAAACAAGUGUCUUUGGGAGCUGAUGUGAAUAUAAGCUGUGAUCUUGAUAUAAAGGAGAUUUACUGGUACAAACGGAAAUUACCAGAUCCUCCAGUGUUGAUGUUACACACUUUUGAUAGCACGUAUGAAAGAGCUGAAUAUGAAAACAGCAUCUUUGAAAACAAAUACUCAGUGAAAACUAACAGUCGUCUGUUGAUCAGAAAUAUCAGCACUGAUGAAUUAGGAGUUUAUUAUUGUGUCAAAACUAGUGAACCACUAAAAUUCAGCAACAGCACCAAAAUCUACAUUAGCGACUCUGUCCAAAGGAAUCAGACUGCAGAAUUUGAGCCACAUGAUGCUUCACAAGAUCAUAAAUCAUGGAGAAAUCUGAUCAUCAUCAUCAUCUCAUCUGCCCUGCUCAAUGUGCUUUGGAUCAUCACUUUAAUAGUACGCUGAAAUUGAUCAUCCCAUCCGCCCCAGAGAAAGCAGGCCUUGCCAGGACCAGACCACCUAUUCUCUUUUACAGCCAAUAAAAACGUGAAUAAGAAGUCAUUUAAAAUAUAGUAUGUUUGAUAAAUAUACUUUGAAUAUUAAAAAUGUGUAUUAACGUUUACUAUUUCUGUAAUUCAGUUUGUAGAAUUUCAUACUUUCAAUGACUUCAGUGGAAUGGAAUUUAAAAUGUUUAAGAUGGUGAAAAAACAUAAGUGAAUGUAUCUACAUAUUUAAUAUUUAGAAAAGAGAUAUUGAAGAGAAAGAAAAAAAUGAAUAAAAUUUGAAACAAAGUUUUUUUUUUUUAUUUAAAUGUUUCUUUCACAAACAUUCAGUUCAAUGAAAACUACUUAGAGUUCAGAGUCAUGAUCAGAUCUGUGAUGAUUUGUCACUGCAUCUAAGAUUAAUGUUCUAUAUGAAAAUAUAAUUACAAUUCUUAUUGGUUGGAAGUAAAAUGGUCAAAAUAGUGGACUCUGCAGCUGUUUGCCACAACAGGAAGUUCACAAUCGCUGUAAUUAUGCAGCUUAAAGUUUUGUUCGGUGGUGUUAACUGCAAAGUUGAACUGUGAUCUCAUGACAAUAUUUUUUGAUUUUUUGUUUGUUUGUUUGUUGUCAUGUAUAUGUUUGCUGCUUUGUGAAUGGUUUUGUUUCCAAAUAUGCAGUGAGGUAGAUACUGUGCCUGUUGAACAAUUCCAGCAUAUGCUGGUUAGGUAGGUUUUGAUGCUGGUAUGCUGGUUUAAGCUGGUCUUUUGCUGGUUUAUGCUGGCUCUUUGCUGGUCCUUUGCUGGUUUAAGCAGGUCCUGGACCAGCACAUGACCAGCUAAGGACCAGCAUAAACCAGCAAAGGACCAGUAUAAAAAAGUAAAGGACCAUCUUAAACCAGCUAAAUCCAGCAUACCAGCACCAAAACCUACCUGGCUAUACUGUUUUUUCAACAGGGGUGUGGUGUGCCAGAUAGCUCUUGUUUCAAACAGAAAAGAGCAGUGAGUUGCGUGUAAACCACAGGGUAAUGACGUUUCUUGGAGCUGAAGUAGUUUCUCAACAAGUUUCAAGAAACAUCAUGCAAUGAAUAAUCCUUAAUCUUAAACCAUACAAUACAUCCGGUAGCAGUUAUGAAGAUAAAAUUUCUUCCUUGACUAGUUUUUUUCACAGUUCACCUGAUUUAAUUACAAUUGUCUGCUUAUGUAUUAUAAAGAUUUCAUGUACAGCUGGAAAUCACAGGAGCAGCUUUCAAUGUAUGUACUAAAGACAUUUUUUGACUUUCUUAUUAAUAGGUUUUCAUUUUUUGAUGUCCAUGUUAAAAAGUCUAACUUCUGCACAGCUCUUCUUUGUGGUUAACAAACAGCAUGAGUUUUUGCAAAUGAACUCCUCCACAGUUUGGUCAGUGUGUUUAUCUCCAGUCACAGACAAAGAUAGUUUACUUUUAUGCGUAUGAAAGCAAAUCUAAAAAUAGACAUUCAGUCUUUUUAACAGCAUGCACUGUGAAGGUCCUAGAUCACAUGCAACUUAAAAACAUUUCAUCUACUAAAGGUUUUUUGUGAAGAUGUUUGCUGAAUUUGUUUCGCCAUUGAACACUUUUAUCCUUCAUAGCUUUCAUAUAGUUUUCAUUAAUUUCCUGUCAGAAAUUAAAUAUGCUCUGUACUGUAUGUGGGUGUGCUCACCCCUAUGGGGUAGGUUUUUGUUUUUGGACUUCAAUAAAGCCUGUCUAACUCUG